UGCAAGACGGGAGACGGAAGUGCGUGGGUACUUGGUCCCCUUGCGGAGUGGUCCAGAAAUGCGUCGCGGAAUAUUCUCCCCGACCUACCUAGCUCUAGGUCCAUAUGGACAUACGCUAGCCAUAGGUAAGGAACCUUGUCCUGUUACAGCCCGGAAAUAGGGGCGCUUGCGUACCGUUUGUAUCCGUUCCCCGCUUCGCCGUCCACCGUGGACACGGUGGACCAGCUGGACCACUUGCGGCCGUUGAUCUCCACCUGACUCGUGACCGGCUUCAAACAUCUCGCACCUGUGCGCGUGCAUGCGUUUCGUGCAUAGUUACAUGCAUACGUGCGCACGCAUCAGGCCCGUAGUAGGAAUCGGCCAAACCAUGUCGUCCAAGUGUGCACGCGGAAUGCGGAUGGCGGAUUCAUGGUUUUAUCCCUUUCCUUGCCCUUGCCCAUCCACCAACUCCCUGGCUACACAAACACGCUGGCACCACCGCGUCCAGUCCCCAGCCCGUGAACAGCUGUCCACGUACCAACGGAAAAGGAUAUCUUGUGCACGUUGCGUUGCAACGCCGCACAGCACGUCGUGUUCGUGGUGCAACCCACAUGUCGAACCAUGAAGCAGUGCCUCGUGCCGGCCAUUACCUGCAGCAGGCGAACAAGCGCGUGGUGCGCAGGCGAAGGGGUCGCAAACACAUGGUCUUGAGCCGCCAACAAACGUAGAAGGACGGCUGAGCUUGCGAGUGAAAGAUGGAUCCCACCUCAAACAAGCAACUACGUGAGCUGGAGGCAGCCGCGUUCAAGCAGUGGAGUCAUGGUGCCUGGCAUGCAACACGAAAGGCAAAUGUUGGGAGGGCUCUAUCUGGACCACUCAC
rnacentral:lncRNA from 1 species